CUACGGGAGGCUGCAGUGGGGAAUAUUGCGCAAUGGGCGAAAGCCUGACGCAGCGACGCCGUGUGGGUGAUGAAGGCCUUCGGGUCGUAAAGCCCUGUCGGGUGGAACGAAUCAUCUGGCGGCGAAUAACCGCUAGGUUUGACGGUACCACCGAAGGAAGCCCCGGCUAACUACGUGCCAGCAGCCGCGGUAAGACGUAGGGGGCGAGCGUUGUUCGGAUUUACUGGGCGUAAAGCGCGCGUAGGCGGCUAGAUAAGUCGGUUGUGAAAGCCCGCGGCUUAACCGAGGUCCCGCAUCCGAAACUGUUUGGCUCGAGGCUAGGAGAGGAAAGCGGAAUUCCCAGUGUAGCGGUGAAAUGCGUAGAUAUUGGGAGGAACACCGGUGGCGAAGGCGGCUUUCUGGACUAGCACUGACGCUGAGGCGCGAAAGCUAGGGGAGCAAACGGGAUUAGAUACCCGUGUAGUC
rnacentral:rRNA from 1 species